rnacentral:rRNA from 1 species
GGUGGUAAUGGCAGCGAGGAUACACCCGUACCCAUCCCGAACACGGCAGUUAAGCCCGCUUACGCCGAAGAUACCUGGCCGGAGACGGCCCGGGAAAAUAGGGAGCUGCCG